rnacentral:rRNA from 1 species
GUCCACGCCGUAAACGUUGGGCGCUAGGUGUGGGGACCUUCCACGGUUUCCGCGCCGCAGCUAACGCAUUAAGCGCCCCGCCUGGGGAGUACGGCCGCAAGGCUAAAACUCAAAGGAAUUGACGGGGGCCCGCACAAGCGGCGGAGCAUGUUGCUUAAUUCGACGCAACGCGAAGAACCUUACCAAGGCUUGACAUCGCCGGAAAACUCGCAGAGAUGCGGGGUCCUUUUGGGCCGGUGACAGGUGGUGCAUGGCUGUCGU